ACGGGUGAGUAACGCGUGAGUAACCUGCCUUUCAGAGGGGGAUAACAUCCUGAAAAGGAUGCUAAUACCGCAUAACAUAUCGAGGCCGCAUGGCAUUGGUAUCAAAGGAGCAAUCCGCUGAGAGAUGGACUCGCGUCCGAUUAGCCAGUUGGCGGGGUAACGGCCCACCAAAGCGACGAUCGGUAGCCGGACUGAGAGGUUGAACGGCCACAUUGGGACUGAGACACGGCCCAGACUCCUACGGGAGGCAGCAGUGGGGGAUAUUGCACAAUGGAGGAAACUCUGAUGCAGCAACGCCGCGUGAGGGAAGAAGGUCUUCGGAUUGUAAACCUUUGUCCUUGGUGACGAAACAAAUGACGGUAGCCAAGGAGGAAGCUCCGGCUAACUACGUGCCAGCAGCCGCGGUAAUACGUAGGGAGCAAGCGUUGUCCGGAUUUACUGGGUGUAAAGGGUGCGUAGGCGGCUCUGCAAGUCAGGCGUGAAAACUAUGGGCUUAACCCAUAGACUGCGUUUGAAACUGUGGGGCUUGAGUGAAGUAGAGGUAGGCGGAAUUCCCGGUGUAGCGGUGAAAUGCGUAGAGAUCGGGAGGAACACCAGUGGCGAAGGCGGCCUACUGGGCUUUAACUGACGCUGAAGCACGAAAGCAUGGGUAGCAAACAGGAUUAGAUACCCUGGUAGUCCAUGCCGUAAACGAUGAUUACUAGGUGUGGGUGGUCUGACCCCAUCCGUGCCGGAGUUAACACAAUAAGUAAUCCACCUGGGGAGUACAGCCGCAAGGUUGAAACUCAAAUGAAUUGACGG
rnacentral:rRNA from 1 species